rnacentral:tRNA from 1 species
GCGGCCGUGUCGUAACUGGCAGCCGAGCUGGGUUUAGGUCCCAGUGGGAGAAAUCCCGUGUGGGUUCGAGUCCCACCGGCCGCACCG